GUAGGCAGCAAACGUUGUUCGGAAUUACUGGGCGUAAAGAGCGUGUAGGCGGUUUUGUUAGUUUGGUGUGAAAUCUCCCGGCUUAACUGGGAGGGUGCGCCGAAUACUGCAAGGCUUGAGUACUGGAGAGGAUAGCGGAAUUCCUGGUGUAGCGGUGAAAUGCGUAGAUAUCAGGAGGAACACCAGCGGUGUAGACGGCUGUCUGGACAGUAACUGACGCUGAGACACGAAAGCGUGGGGAGCAAACAGGAUUAGAUACCCUGGUAGUCCACGCCCUAAACGAUGCAUACUUGGUGUGGGUGAUUCAUUUUAUCCGUGCCGGAGCUAACGCGUUAAGUAUGCCGCCUGGGGAGUACGGUCGCAAGGCUG
rnacentral:rRNA from 1 species